CACAAUUUGUUCCAUACCAAGGGAGUUGUGAAGGAACGUUCUGUGCGCGUCAUCAUAGACGGAGGGAGCUGCAACAACUUGGCUAGCAUGGAGAUGGUGGAGAAGCUUUCUCUCACCACAAGACCACAUCCACAUCCUUACUACAUCCAAUGGUUCAACAACAGCGGCAAGGUUAAGGUAACACGUACUGUUCGUGUGCAUUUUAGUAUCUCUACAUAUGCUGAUUAUGUUGAUUGUGAUGUGGUACCUAUGCAAGCAUGUUCCUUAUUACUUGGUAGACCAUGGCAAUUUGAUAAAAACUCUGUACACCAUGGUAGAAACAAUCACUAUACUCUUGUUCAUAAGGAUAAAAAUAUUACUUUGCUUCCUAUGACUCCUGAUUCCAUUUUGAAAGAUGAUAUUAACAGAGCUAAUAAAGCACAGCAGGAGAAGAAUAAGAGUGAAAAUCAGAUUGUGGCAAAAGAAUUUGAGCAACAAAUGAAGCCUAAUAAUAAGCCAUCUAGUGUUGCUUCUGAAAUUAAAUUGAAAAGUGCAUGUUUAUUUGCCACCAAAUCUGAUAUUGAUGAGCUAGAUUUCAGCAAAUCUGUUUGCUAUGCUUUUGUGUGCAAAGAGGCAUUAUUUUCAUUCGAGGACGUGCCUUCCUCUUUGCCUCCUGCUGUCACUAACAUUUUGCAGGAGUUCGCUGACGUUUUUCCACAAGACGUGCCACCGGGAUUACCGCCUAUUCGAGGGAUUGAGCAUCAGAUUGACUUAAUUCCCGGUGCUUCACUGCCAAACCAUGCACCAUACCGUACCAAUCCAGAGGAGACGAAGGAGAUUAUGCGUCAAGUACAAGAGCUUCUCGACAAAGGUUAUAUACGCGAAUCCCUUAGUCCUUGUGCUGUUCCUAUUAUUCUAGUGCCGAAAAAGGAUGGUACAUCACGUAUGUGUGUUGAUUGUAGAGGCAUUAAUAAUAUUACUAUUCAUUAUCGUCAUCCUAUUCCUAGGCUAGAUGAUAUGCUUGAUGAAUUGAGUGGCUCUACAAUAUUCUCCAAAGUUGAUUUGCGUAGUGGCUACCAUCAAAUUCGUAUGAAAUUGGGAGAUGAAUGGAAAACAGCAUUUAAGACUAAGUUUGGAUUAUAUGAGUGGUUAGUCAUGCCUUUUGGAUUAACUAAUGCACCUAGUACUUUCAUGAGAUUAAUGAACGAAGUUUUACGUGCUUUCAUUGGACGAUUUGUGGUAGUUUACUUUGAUGACAUAUUGAUUUAUAGCAGAUCUUUGGAGGAACAUUUGGAACAUUUACGUGCUGUUUUUAUUGCUCUACGUGAUGCACGUUUGUUUGGUAACCUUGGGAAGUGCACCUUUUGCACCGACCGAGUAUCUUUUCUUGGCUAUGUUGUUACUCCACAGGGAAUUGAAGUUGAUAAAGCCAAGAUUGAAGCUAUUGAGAGUUGGCCGCAGCCCAAAACGGUCACACAAGUGAGGAGUUUUCUUGGCCUCGCUGGAUUCUAUAGGCGUUUUGUGAGAGAUUUCAGCACCAUUGCUGCACCUCUCAAUGAGCUUACAAAGAAAGAUGUGCCUUUUCUUUGGGGUACCGCACAGGAAGAAGUCUUCACGGUAUUGAAAGAUAAGUUGACACAUGCUCCUUUACUCCAACUUCCUGAUUUUAAUAAGACUUUUGAGCUUGAAUGUGAUGCUAGUGGAAUUGGAUUAGGAGGUGUGUUAUUACAAGAUGGCAAACCUGUUGCUUACUUUUCUGAAAAAUUGAGUGGGCCUAGUCUGAAUUAUUCUACUUAUGAUAAAGAAUUAUAUGCUCUUGUUCGGACUUUAGAAACAUGGCAACAUUAUUUAUGGCCCAAAGAAUUUGUUAUACAUUCUGAUCAUGAAUCUUUGAAACAUAUUAAAAGUCAAGCUAAACUGAAUCGUAGACAUGCUAAAUGGGUGGAAUUCAUUGAGACUUUCCCUUAUGUCAUUAAACACAAGAAGGGAAAAGAAAAUGUUAUUGCUGAUGCAUUGUCUCGUCGCUAUACUAUGCUUUCACAACUUGACUUCAAAAUAUUUGGUUUGGAGACCAUCAAAGAUCAAUAUGUGCAUGAUGAUGAUUUUAAAGAUGUAAUGCAUAAUUGUAAAGAAGGAAGAAUGUGGAACAAGUUUGUUGUUAACGAUGGAUUUGUGUUUCGUGCUAACAAGCUAUGCAUUCCAGCUAGCUCCGUUCGUCUUUUGUUGUUGCAGGAGGCGCAUGGAGGAGGAUUAAUGGGACACUUUGGCGUGAAGAAGACGGAGGACGUACUUGCUACACAUUUCUUUUGGCCAAAGAUGAGACGGGAUGUUGAGCGUUUUAUUGCUCGCUGCACUACAUGUCAAAAAGCUAAGUCACGCCUCAAUCCUCAUGGUUUAUAUAUGCCUUUGCCUGUACCUAGUGUUCCUUGGGAGGAUAUAUCUAUGGACUUUGUUUUAGGUUUACCUCGUACAAAGAAGGGGAGGGAUAGCAUAUUUGUUGUCGUGGAUAGAUUCUCGAAAAUGACACACUUUAUACCAUGUCAUAAAAGCGAUGAUGCUGUUAAUGUUGCUGAUUUGUAUCGUGAUACUAAAUUUCUUAGCCACUUUUGGAGAUGUUUAUGGGCUAAGUUGGGGACUAAACUGCUUUUUAGUACUACUUGUCACCCCCAAACUGAUGGACAAACUGAAGUAGUCAAUAGAACGUUGUCUACUAUGCUUAGGGCUGUUUUGAAGAAUAAUAAGAAAAUGUGGGAGGAAUGCUUGCCUCAUAUUGAAUUUGCUUAUAAUCGUUCAUUGCAUUCUACUACUAAGAUGUGCCCUUUUGAAGUUGUGUAUGGUUUCCUACCUCGUGCACCUAUUGAUUUGUUGCCUCUUCCAUCUUCGGAGAAGGUUAAUUUUGAUGCUAAAAAACAUGCUGAAUUGAUUUUAAAAAUGCAUGAGUUAACUAAGGAAAACAUUGAGCGUAUGAAUGCUAAAUAUAAACUUGCUGGAGAUAAGGGUAGAAAACAUGUUGUGUUUGCACCUGGAGAUCUUGUUUGGUUACAUUUGCGUAAGGAUAGAUUUCCUGAUUUGCGCAAAUCAAAGCUAAUGCCACGUGCUGAUGGUCCCUUUAAGGUGUUAGAGAAAAUAAAUGAUAAUGCAUAUAAACUUGAGCUGCCUGCAGAUUUUAGGGUUAGUCCCACUUUUAACAUUGCAGAUUUGAAGCCUUAUUUGGGUGAGGAAGAUGAACUUCCGUCGAGGACGACUUCAUUUCAAGAAGGGGAGGAUGAUGAGGACAUCAAUACAAUUGUUACACCCACAGCCCCUGCUGCUAUACAUACUGGACCAAUUACUAGAGCUCGUGCACGAAACAGACCCUCGUGGUCAGGUUGUGAUGAGGACAUCAAUACAAUUGUUACACCCACAGCCCCUGCUGCUAUACAUACUGGACCAAUUACUAGAGCUCGUGCACACCAACUAAAUUACCAGGAAACAGACCCUCGUGGUCAGGUUGAUCGUGCUCCGCCACUACGCAAAUCAACUUUGGAGAAUAUUGUAGAGCCACUUAAUUCAUCAAGCAUAUCA
rnacentral:rRNA from 1 species